UCCUUUCAGAUCGUAUAAAUCUUUCACCUUUUAC
rnacentral:snRNA from 1 species